rnacentral:tRNA from 1 species
CUCGCCGUAGUUAAACGGAUAUAAUAGACCCCUCCUAAGGGUCAGUUAGUGGUUCAAUUCCACUCGGCGAGGCCA